rnacentral:rRNA from 1 species
GUGGGGAAUCUUCCGCAAUGGACGAAAGUCUGACGGAGCAACGCCGCGUGAACGAUGACGGCCUUCGGGUUGUAAAGUUCUGUUAUACGGGACGAAUGGUACGACGGCCAAUACCCGUCGUAAGUGACGGUACCGUAAGAGAAAGCCACGGCUAACUACGUGCCAGCAGCCGCGGUAAUACGUAGGUGGCAAGCGUUGUCCGGAAUUAUUGGGCGUAAAGGGCGCGCAGGCGGCGUCGUAAGUCGGUCUUAAAAGUGCGGGGCUUAACCCCGUGAGGGGACCGAAACUGCGAUGCUAGAGUAUCGGAGAGGAAAGCGGAAUUCCUAGUGUAGCGGUGAAAUGCGUAGAUAUUAGGAGGAACACCAGUGGCGAAAGCGGCUUUCUGGACGACAACUGACGCUGAGGCGCGAAAGCCAGGGGAGCAAACGGGAUUAGAUACCCCUGUAGUCC